rnacentral:rRNA from 1 species
GAUGAACGCUGGCGGCGUGCCUAAUACAUGCAAGUCGAGCGAACGGACGAGAAGCUUGCUUCUCUGAUGUUAGCGGCGGACGGUUGAGUAACACGUGGAUAACCUACCUAUAAGACUGGGAUAACUUCGGGAAACCGUAGCUAAUACCGGAUAAUAUUUUGAACCGCAUGGUUCAAAAGUGAAAGACGGUCUUGCUGUCACUUAUAGAUGGAUCCGCGCUGCAUUAGCUAGUUGGUAAGGUAACGGCUUACCAAGGCAACGAUGCAUAGCCGACCUGAGAGGGUGAUCGGCCACACUGGAACUGAGACACGGUCCAGACUCCUACGGGAGGCAGCAGUAGGGAAUCUUCCGCAAAGGGCGAAAGCCUGACGGAGCAACGCCGCGUGAGUGAUGAAGGUCUUCGGAUCGUAAAACUCUGUUAUUAGGGAAGAACAUAUGUGUAAGUAACUGUGCACAUCUUGACGGUACCUAAUCAGAAAGCCACGGCUAACUACGUG